UACGUAGGGUGCAAGCGUUAAUCGGAAUUACUGGGCGUAAAGCGUGCGCAGGCGGUUAUGCAAGACAGAUGUGAAAUCCCCGGGCUUAACCUGGGAACUGCAUUUGUGACUGCAUAGCUAGAGGACGGUAGAGGGGGAUGGAAUUCCGCGUGUAGCAGUGAAAUGCGUAGAUAUGCGGAGGAACACCGGUGGCGAAGGCGGCAUCCUGGACCGGUAUUGACGCUGAGGCGCGAAAGCCAGGGGAGCAAACGGG
rnacentral:rRNA from 1 species